rnacentral:rRNA from 1 species
CUGGCUCAGGAUGAACGCUAGCGACAGGCUUAACACAUGCAAGUCGAGGGGCAGCACGGGAGUAGCAAUACAACUGGUGGCGACCGGCGCACGGGUGAGUAACGCGUAUGCAACCUACCUAUCAGAGGGGAAUAACCCGGCGAAAGUCGGACUAAUACCGCAUAAAACAGGGGCACCGCAUGGUGAUAUUUGUUAAAGAAAUUCGCUGAUAGAUGGGCAUGCGUUCCAUUAGGUAGUUGGUGAGGUAACGGCUCACCAAGCCGACGAUGGAUAGGGGAACUGAGAGGUUGGUCCCCCACACUGGUACUGAGACACGGACCAGACUCCUACGGGAGGCAGCAGUGAGGAAUAUUGGUCAAUGGGCGAGAGCCUGAACCAGCCAAGUCGCCGUGAAGGAAGAAGGAUCUAUGGUUCGUAAACUUCUUUUGCAGGGGAAUAAAGUGCGGGACGUGUCCUGUUUUGUAUGUACCCUGAGAAUAAGGAUCGGCUAACUCCGUGCCAGCCGCGGC